rnacentral:rRNA from 1 species
UACGUAGGGGGCAAGCGUUGUCCGGAUUUAUUGGGCGUAAAGAGCGUGUAGGCGGCUAGGUAGGUCCGUUGUGAAAACUCGAGGCUCAACCUCGAGACGCCGGUGGAAACCAUCUAGCUAGAGUCCGGAAGAGGAGAGUGGAAUUCCUGGAUGUAGCGGUGAAAUGACGCAGAUAUCAGGAAGAACACCCGUGGCGAAGGCGGCUCUCUGGUACGUGACUGACGCUGAGACGCGAAAGCGUGGGGAGCGAACAGG